rnacentral:rRNA from 1 species
UUCAUAAUAACUUAACGAAUCGCAUGGCCUUGCGCUGGCGAUGGUUCAUUCAAAUUUCUGCCCUAUCAACUUUCGAUGGUAGGAUAGUGGCCUACCAUGGUCUCAACGGGUAACGGGGAAUUAGGGUUCUAUUCCGGAGAGGGAGCCUGAGAAACGGCUACCACAUCCAAGGAAGGCAGCAGGCGCGCAAAUUACCCAAUCCCAAUUCGGGGAGGUAGUGACAAUAAAUACUGAUACAGGGCUCUUUUGGGUCUUGUAAUUGGAAUGAGUACAAUCUAAAUCCCUUAACGAGGAACAAUUGGAGGGCAAGUCUGGUGCCAGCAGCCGCGGUAAUUCCAGCUCCAAUAGCGUAUAUUAAAGUUGUUGCCGUUAAAAAGCUCGUAGUUGAACCUUGGGUCUGGCUGAUCUGUCCUCCUAAUCGAGCGCACGGAUUCGGUCGGACCUUUCCUUCUGGGGAGCCGCAUGCCCUUCACUGGGCGUGUCGGGGAACCAGGACUUUUACCUUGAAAAAAUUAGAGUGUUCAAAGCAGGCCUUUGCUCGAAUACAUUAGCAUGGAAUAAUAGAAUAGGACAGAGGUUCUAUUUUGUUGGUUUCUAGGACCGCUGUAAUGAUUAAUAGGGAUAGUCGGGGGCGUCCGUAUUCAAUUGUCAGAGGUGAAAUUCUUGGAUUUAUUGAAGACGAACUACUGCGAAAGCAUUCGCCAAGGAUGUUUUCAUUAAU